GCUGGCGUGGCGGAAUUGGCAUACGCACUGGCUUCAAACACCAGGAUCACAGAUAUGUGGGUUCGAGUCCCACCGUCAGUA
rnacentral:tRNA from 2 species